AAGUAGGUCGAUCCACAUCUAGAAUAUAUGCGACAAUCUCAGGUCUAAGGACAAAGCGUAUAUGUUGUUUAAAGAGAGAACUACUUCUCGUGUUGGGUCAGUCCUAACACAUGUCUCCACAUGUGUCCACAUUAUUAGUUCAACAUCUCCAUGUUCAUGACUUGUGAAACAUAGUCAUCAACUAAUACAUGUGCUAGUCUAAUAUUCAUGUGUGUCCUCACAUGAACUCCG
rnacentral:lncRNA from 1 species